AUGUACAUGAAAAUUUGUGAGGCCACUGAUGAAGAGCAGGCGGUGACUGGGAUGAAUGCUGGUCAAAGAAGAGAAUGUCCUUUCCUCUUAACUGAUGCAACAUUGGUUUUAAAGGAGGAGGCUGCCAUGGAUGAUGUAAAAGUUGUCACAUGCUGUGCUGAUGGGGCUUCAUCACGUCUACGUGCUAAAGAGAUCAUGAAAAUUGACAGUGAUGCAUGAUCUGUAUUUAUGGACUAUGAAACAAACUGUAAGUGUAUUUGUAAAAACAAAAUGUUAAAUGCUUGUUCUGUGUUGUUUAGUAGAAAUGGAGUUUACACUCUGUCAUUCAUAAAUAUGCUCACAUUCUUUCACACACACGUGUCUGUUAAAUGUUAUAAUAUCAGAGUUAAUGUUGUGGUUUAUUUGUGUUCUGGAAUUUGUCGCUGGCUCUGAUGUUUCUAUAGUGGUUUAACAUGAGCUGUAAUUCAUUUUGGGUAAAUUUAACGGGCUCUUUGGUCUCAUUAAUCUAUUAUUUGUUCCAGAGCAAAUAGUUUUGGCUGAGGACCACGUCUCAUAACUUUAUAUUUGAAUUUAAUUUUAAUGUUGUAUCAGUGCGCUGCCUUUGAACUUUUGACUGCCUACAGCCAAAUCACAGCCAUGCUGAUAUAGAGCGAUAUCACGCAGCGUUUCGUGUGAUAUUGCUAAUAUAUGGACCUAAUUCCCUCCAGUAUCAUAGUUUUAGCUACUGUUCAAAAAAGUGGUAAUUUCUUCUGUUUGAGCUUGAGCUUGAAUCAAAACUCAGUGAGGCAAUCUGUGAUUGAAUUCAUUCAUUCACUCACAGUGACCUGAGCUCCAGGAAAGCCUGUCCCCUGAGAGAAAUAGCUGAGAUGCCUGAAAUGACCUGACACUGUAUGCUGCUGUAUAUUAAUAUAUGUUUUAAUUGCUGCAGGUUCAUACAGGGAGAUAUAUGUUUAGAAUGUGUGUACAGUAAAAGUUCAAAUAUAAAUUCUGUCAUUAUUUGCUCAGUCGCUUAUUCUUUCAAACCCAUAUGGAUUUUUAUUAAGAACAACAUGGGUCAUUUGGUUUAAAAACAUAUAAAUACUCUGUAUGUAUCAAACUAAGUAGCAUUUUGGUUAAGGUUUAAACCAAACCAUUUGAGAAAAACUACAUUUUGUAAGCAAAGCAAAGUUAUAGCAAAUGUGUGUUGGUUGUUUCCAUAGAUAUUUUUUGACCAGAACAACCAGAAUAGCAACCACAGCUAUUCAUCUAGCACAUCUAAUUAUUGUUACUGAGUAAAUGGAUUAUUUAUUCAGUUUUUUGUACAUGCUACAGUACAUGGAUUUUAUCAAAAAAUUUAGAAUUUCCAGGGAACUAUGUAAAUUUGGGAGUGCCAUAUUUAGCUGUAUUUAACUAUCACUUAAACUUUUGGACUACAAUAAAAUGGCCUACACUAAUACA
ensembl:lncRNA